rnacentral:rRNA from 1 species
CGUAACAAGGUUUCCGUAGGUGAACCUGCGGAAGGAUCAUUAACGAAUUGUAAUUGGAGUUGAUGCUGGCAGGCUUGGCUGCAUGUGCUCGCUCCUAACAAUCUUCAUCCAAACACCUGUGCACAUUUAGAGAGGGUCUCCGAGUCCUCCUUGGAGUCCCUUCCUCUCAUUACACACUUUAUUUCAAUGUUGAACGUGAUUGUGCCGUAAGGCCUUAAUAUUAAUACAACUUUUAACAACGGAUCUCUUGGCUCUCGCAUCGAUGAAGAACGCAGCGAAAUGCGAUAAGUAAUGUGAAUUGCAGAAUUCAGUGAAUCAUCAAAUUUUUGAACGCACCUUGCGCUCCCUGGUAUUCCGGGGAGCACGCCUGUUCGAGUGUCGUGAAAUUCUCAAACCGGGAUGCUUUUUUUUGUUUCUCGGCUUGGUGUUGGGCUUUGCAGUUCCUUUGAUUGGGAUGGCUGGCCUUAAAAGCAUUAGCUGGCUUUUCAUGUGGCAUUGGUUCUACUCAGCGUGAUAAUGAUCUGACCGCCGAGGACAUCUUUCGAGAUGGCCAAUUCUCAUUUGGGCUGCUUCUAAUUUUGGUAGAGCAGAUUCUGAAUCUGUUCCACUUUUCAGCUUUUGACCUCGAAUCAGGUGGGACUACCCGCUGAACUUAAGCAUAUCAAUAAGCGGAGGAAAAGAAACUAACAAGGAUUCCCCUAGUAACGGCGAGUGAAGCGGGAAGAGCUCAAAUUUAAAAUCUGGCA